rfam:Salmo salar isolate Sally breed double haploid chromosome ssa10, whole genome shotgun sequence.
AAUGCACCAAUUUGUAAGUCGCUCUGGAUAAGAGCGACUGCUAAAUGACGUAAA